UAGAUACCCUGGUAGUCCACGCCGUAAACGAUGAUUACUAGUUGUUUGUGAUAUAUUAUAAGUGACUAAGCGAAAGCGAUAAGUAAUCCACCUGGGGAGUACGCCGGCAACGGUGAAACUCAAAGGAAUUGACGGGGGCCCGCACAAGCGGAGGAACAUGUGGUUUAAUUCGAUGAUACGCGAGGAACCUUACCCGGGCUUGAAAUGUAGAGGAAUAACGAAGAAAUUUGUUAGCCAGCAAUGGUCUCUA
rnacentral:rRNA from 1 species